UAAUACGUAGGGGGCGAGCGUUGUCCGGAAUCAUUGGGCGUAAAGAGCACGUAGGCGGCCUGUCAAGUCGGAUGUGAAAGCCCGUGGCUUAACUGCGGAAAUGCAUUCGAAACUGGCAGGCUAGAGUCCAGUAGAGGAAAGUGGAAUUCCCAGUGUAGCGGUGAAAUGCGCAGAUAUUGGGAAGAACACCGGUGGCGAAGGCGGCUUUCUGGGCUGUGACUGACGCUGAGGUGCGAAAGCUAGGGGAGCAAACAGGAUUAGAUACCCUGGUAGUCCUAGCUGUAAACGAUGGGCACUAGGUGUGGGGAGUGUCAACUCUCUCCGUGCCGGAGCUAACGCAUUAAGUGCCCCGCCUGGGGAGUACGGUCGCAAGGCUA
rnacentral:rRNA from 1 species